rnacentral:rRNA from 1 species
GACGAACGCUGGCGGCGUGCUUAACACAUGCAAGUCGAACGGUAAGGCCCUUCGGGGUACACGAGUGGCGAACGGGUGAGUAACACGUGGGUGAUCUGCCCUGCACUUCGGGAUAAGCCUGGGAAACUGGGUCUAAUACCGGAUAGGACCCUGGGAUGCAUGUCCUGGGGUGGAAAGCUUUUGCGGUGUGGGAUGGGCCCGCGGCCUAUCAGCUUGUUGGUGGGGUGAUGGCCUACCAAGGCGACGAAGGGUAGCCGGCCUGAGAGGGUGACCGGCCGAACUGGGACUGAGCUACGGCGCAGACUCAUACGGGGGGCAGCGGUGGGGAAUAUUGCACAAUGGGCGCAAGCCUGAUGCAGCGACGCCGCGUGAGGGAUGACGGCCUGCGGGUUGUAAACCUCUUUCAGCACCGACGAAGCGCAAGUGACGGUAGGUGCAGAAGAAGGACCGGCCAACUACGUGCCAGCCGCCGCGGUAA